GCCUUGCUUGAGAGAACUGGUUAUACUCUGGAUGUAACCACAGGACAGAGGAAGUAUGGUGGUCCUCCACCAGACAGUGUGUACUCUGGCGUGCAACCUGGAAUUGGAACGGAGUGUGACAGCUAUGAAAUUCGCCCUGGUAAACACCUUGGAGUGUGCAUUUCUGUGGCAAACAACAGACUUUUUGUUGGAUCCAUUCCGAAGAAUAAGACUAAAGAAAACAUUUUGGAAGAAUUCAGUAAAGUCACAGAGGGUUUGGUGGACGUUAUUCUCUAUCAUCAACCCGAUGACAAAAAGAAGAAUCGGGGGUUCUGCUUCCUUGAAUAUGAGGAUCACAAGUCAGCAGCACAAGCCAGACGCCGGCUGAUGAGUGGAAAAGUAAAAGUGUGGGGAAAUGUAGUUACAGUUGAAUGGGCUGACCCUGUGGAAGAACCAGAUCCAGAAGUCAUGGCUAAGGUAAAAGUUUUGUUUGUGAGAAACUUGGCUACUACGGUGACAGAAGAAAUAUUGGAAAAGUCAUUUUCUGAAUUUGGAAAACUCGAAAGAGUAAAGAAGUUGAA
rnacentral:misc_RNA from 1 species